rnacentral:rRNA from 1 species
UACGAAGGGUGCAAGCGUUAAUCGGAAUUACUGGGCGUAAAGGGCUCGUAGGCGGCCAACUAAGUCGGAUGUGAAAUCCCCAGGCUUAACCUGGGAACUGCAUCCGAUACUGGAUGGCUUGAAUCCGGGAGAGGGAUGCAGAAUUCCAGGUGUAGCGGUGAAAUGCGUAGAUAUCUGGAGGAAUACCGGUGGCGAAGGCGGCAUCCUGGACCGGCAUUGACGCUGAUGAGCGAAAGCUAGGGGAGCAAACGGGG